rnacentral:rRNA from 1 species
GACGUAGGGCGCGAGCGUUGUCCGGAUUUAUUGGGCGUAAAGGGCGCGUAGGCGGCCGGUUAAGUCAGCUGUGAAAGCCCGGGGCUCAACCCCGGAGGGUCGGCUGAUACUGAUCGACUAGAGUACGGAAGAGGUAGCUGGAAUUCCCGGUGUAGCGGUGAAAUGCGUAGAUAUCAGGAGGAACACCGGUGGCGAAGGCGGGUCUCUGGGCCGAUACUGACGCUGAGGCACGAAAGCGUGGGGAGCAAACAGG